ACUGCUUGUUUCAUUUUUCAGUCUUUAAAAAUUAUCCAAGCAGUUCGUGUCUUUGGCUCCAAGCCCCGCACUCUCUGGACGCUGGCCCCAUGUCGUGGGCCCGGGGACCCUGGGACUGGGGGCGCUCUCGGAAGCCACGCACGUGCCCUCAAAGCAUCUGCAGGGUCCCAGCUGAGCCCUCUGCGGCCAGGUGGCUGCCUGGUGCCUGGUGUUUUGCAGUCCGACCGUGUGGACACCAACUCCGCUCCGUGGCCUUGGGCAGAGUGGCCCAGCACCGCCAAUCUCAGAGUCCUCUUCUUUGGCAGGGACUGCCGGCCACGCCCACCUCGGGCGCCUGUCUCCACUGCCAGUGUCCUGGACUCCAGCCUGCAGGAGGGGCUGGGCGCCCAGCCUUCUUCAUGGACAUGGUGGCUGCAGGACACGCCCGGGGGGAAGUCACUGCCUAGACUGAGCUCCACCCCCUCAGAGAAUCAGCACCUGUCAGAUGCAGGGCACCAGCAGAGCCCACCCCCCGCUCAGGCCAACGCGCUCCCCUCCAUGCUUCCCCCCAAAGCUUCCCUCUGGCUGCCCAGACCCAGACGGGCUUGGCUUCACCGAGGCAGGAUCCGAGCCGCGGCAGGAGGGCUGACGUCAUCCGGCUGCUGGUUCCGGCUCCCCCCGCGUCGUGGCCCACAGACCUGCCCCUGGUCACACUCUGUGGCUGAGGGCGGAGGUGGAGCUCUCCCGCAGUGACCGCUCUGCGUUCCUGUACCUCGGCGACGCUGACUUUGGGCCUCUGCCCAGAGGCACGACGGAGCGAUCCUGUGAGCUUGGCGCGGUGCGGUUUGCUGUGCAGGUGACCCACGCUGGGUCACGGCUCCAGCUCAGGCCUUGCUGGCCAGUGGCAGUCACCCCCCCAGUCUACUGCUUGGAGGCUGCCUGGGUUCCGAGCCGCUGUCGCCGUGACCUGGCCAGGUGGCUGGGCGGCUCAGGGAGGGGUUGUCUGCACUCACUGUGUGUGACACGGAACAAAGGUCCAGGAAGGAGGGGGCCCGCCCCAGCCCCCCAGCUGUUGGUGAGCGUGGGCACCGCUGUGUCCUGGCCAGGCCUGGUAAAUCGGCUGCUGAUGUCAGCUUCUGCAGGGGACUCCUGGGGGGCAGAGGGCAGUUGUGGCUGGGGCGUCUGGCUGAGCCCCCGGGUUAACAACUGGGUCCCCGAAGUCCCAUGUGAUGGGUUUGCGGACGGCGGGGCAGGCUCGACCCCAGCGGGGUGGGGGCUUCCAUGCUGGGGUUUGGGGCUGAGUUCGGCCCUGGUGUCCUCGCUGCACUGACUGCUGUCCACUGCCCCCCUCAGAUGCCAGACCGGGGCGGGGACUGUGAACCUCUAAAUCCGUGAGCGGAAACAAACCCGGGGCCAGGUGUGGUGAGUGCCACCUGAGCCCAGGUGUGUGGAGGGACGACUCCCAGGAAGCAGAGGUGCGCCUGUGUCGUGCCGUGCACACCGACGCUCAGGGACUUGUUGUCAGAAGUACUUGAGGUCAUUGCCUGGCAGGGCCCUGGGGGUGUGUGUGGUAAUUUGCAUAUGUAAAUUAGCACUGUACAUUACUUCACAUGAAUUUCAAGCCUCCUUGGCAUAGGACUGACGGUUUAGGAAUCCUAGCAGGGGUUCAGCAAAGGGGAACAAGCUGACAGUGACAGGGAGAUGACCCUGGGCCAUCUGGAUAAAUCUGGGGUGUGUUUGGUGCUGUGGAUUA
ensembl:lncRNA